ensembl:lncRNA
CUCUUGAGCAUAUUAGCUGACAACAAUAAUUUUGCUCUGCCUGUUCUGCUACAUAGUCCUAUAUACUGUGACUGUUCUACAGCUGGCUUCAUUUCAUCAAUGCAAGACCUUCCUCAAAUAUACAAGGUCUUUUCCAGUUACAGUAUUCUGAAGAAAAACAUUGUGGAAUUAUGUAGAGAACUCAUGUUAUAAGCUGAUGUAGUAAUUACAGUUAUUGAUAUCCUUCCCAGAAAUGAAAAUGAUGACUGCAUUGAAAAGGAUGACUGCACAUUUCAUUGCAACAUUAAUCUGUUAUUUAAAAAAUAGUAAAUUCUUUGUCUUUUUAUUUGUUGUUUUUGCUGUUGCUUCCAAAUCAAAAUAUAAAUUUUGCUUUAACCAUAUGCAUAAGAUAAGGCUCAUAUACAUAAACAUUCAAAGAAGAUGCAUUUCAACUUCAGUAUUCACUCAGAUUAAUUAUUGUUUAUUCAUAAUAUUUAAGUUCUUAAGUGCAGGAUAGAGUCUGAGUAGACUUUGUAUUGCAACUGAAACAAUAAGGUAUCCAGCAGAUACAUUCCCCUCAAGAAUGCAGCUAAAAAGGAGGGAAUUUCAGUACCAGGAGCCACUUCAUUUUGUAAGAGCCACUCAAGUGCAUAGGUAGCAGAUACUGAGGCAGAACAGAGGGUAUCUGGCUUCUUGUGAAGGAAGAAUAUGAUGCAAUAUAAAAGGUACUUACAGACCAAAAGUCCUGGGAUCCUAAAAUUCCACUUACUCUACAAUAAGAAUUCUUUUUUUUUUUUUUUUUUUUUACAGAAAUGUUACAUUUUUAAAAUAGAAUUCUUCUUUUAAGACAGAAAAGGUAUUAAGGUUCUACUAGUUUUUAAAAGCUUAAGGAAAACUGAAUAAAGCCAUCAUGCAGUUCAAAGGUUUGAGUUGUUUUCAAAACAGUUUAGAUCAGGAAGCAAAAUACCUGAAUAUACAAUUUGCUAUUUCACAUACAUACAGGAAAAAAUUAAUAAAUACUCAUCUAAGCCUAUAUAUUCGACUAAAUCUCUGAGGAAGGAAAACUAAUCUUCAGCAGUGGUGAUAGACAUGAUACACCUAGAAAUCUAUGUUUGAUAGAAAUUCAAUGCCUAAAACAGUAGUUAUCAAAUUUUUUUUUGUUCAUGGAUCCUUAUUUUUUUACCCAAUAAGUGCUCAUUUACAGCUGUACAUUUUCAGACUUUCAUGCAGGCUACAUUACGUUCAUUUCUUAGGUGCAGUUAAUGAAGCCUUAAGAAGUAGCCAAGGAAAUCUGGGACACUAAUCAUGCUGUGGCAGCUUUUGGAUAAGAGAUGAAUAAGGACUUAAAGAAAAGAAAGACAUUACCCAGUGGGAAGGGAAAAUGUUCACAGACUGUCAAUCUCCCUAGACAAUAUGCAUGCAUUUGUGCUUUGAAUUCAUUGUUUUCUGUCAGAAAAAUCCAUUUCUUGUGUCAGAAAUGUGAGUGUGAUGAUGCUUGCUAUUUUUUUUUUCUUGGGUGUUAAGAAGCAGCUUCUUCCUUUCUUUCUUUCCUUAAUCAACAUCUCUAUGGGAUAUAAAAAUGUAACCUCUUCACCUUUUCCAAGAGGUAGUACAACGACUGCAGCAGAGGGUAACCAUGUGCUGACAUUAUGUAAACAGCCCUCUAUUCGAAUAAUGAGAAAUGAAUAGAUUGGUGAAUCCUUCCUUUCCCUUAAAUGUGUUGGAGUUGAAAGCACUGGUGACUGGAGUUACAGAUCCCAUCUGUUAGCAAGAUGCUGCAGAAGAGCUUAGGUGUGUUGCUACUCCUUCUUUACAUUUUGUAUCCGUGUAUCCAUUACCCAUUUCAAGGCUGCUAGGCACAUUUUCUAGUGUAAUCAAUUUCUGUGUCAGAAAGAAAACUUGAAAGAUGAAUAAUUUGUCCUGCCAGAAAGAACUGAGUUAACAGUCACCUUGAAUAGUAAAACAUGGCAUAGCUAUGGAAUGUAACCUGAAGCCUUGUUAUGCCUAUUAGAAAAAGAGGAACAAGAAACAGACACAGAAUCGUCAUAUUCUGUUUCCUUACUUUACUCUUUUAAAUUUAUUUUCUUAUUACUAGUGAUUUUCUUUAACAACAGAAGAUGUGUUAAAUACACUUGACCAUGACAAAGUGUAAAGUAGCAAUUAAUGUCACUCACUUAAGUGGUCUCUCUGGCAUCAAGUAUCCAUAGAGAGUAACAGUAUAUGAUUUAAAAUGGCAAUUAUAAUCAUGACUGGAAUACAGGUAUUGAACAGUUAGAGGUAAGGAUAUAAGGAAAUGCUAUAAAAUGCUAUAAGGAUAGCAUUUUAUGUUAGUAAUGUAAGAAAUGGCAAAAUAAAACUAAACUAAGUAGAAGUGCUAUGGGUAAAAGAGCACAUGAAAAUAAUAUUUACAUAAAAAAGAUCCUGCUAGUGCUUUGCUCUGGAUAUUCAGGGUGUGAUAUAAAUAUGGCAGAUUAUGCUGUACAAUAUGCAAUGUUAUAUAAUAUAGCUAGGAACAAGAAUCUAGAGAAAUAUUAGACAAAGAUAAACAAUUUUUUCAGACAUAGAAUUAUAUCUAACCACAUAGUGACUCUUAAUCUUCAUAAAUUUGAACUUAAAAAACAAAACUAAAGCAAAGUGACAAUAAAAAAACAGGAAAUUUCUUCUAUUUUGUUUGGAGAGUAGACAAGUACAUAUGCACAAAGAUAUAAAAAGACUCCAAACUUCUGAUUUCCUGGAUUGAUAUGGACUCUGGCUCUCAUUCCAAACCUGAGUUUGCUUUUAUUUGAUUUUUACUAAAAUCUGAACACUACUUCUAAAGAAAAAAAAUCAUUUAUUGAAUGCGGUGUGUGAUAACAUGAAAUUUUCAAUUAUUUUGCUAGAUCAGUGUAUUAACUGGAAUCAGAGAAAUGCUGAGUAGAUGGGACUGUUAUAAAUGAGGCAAAUUCAGCAGAGUUGGAGGAGAGUUAAUUGUCUGAAGGUAUCUGCUAACUAAAGUUCACCGCUGAAAUGGAGUGUACUUCCCCUGUGGUGACCUGCAAUACAGAAGAACUUCUGUAAGCCAUUGUUUUUUUAUGUGGUUGGGAGCCCAUCUGUGAUGAUUUUUAGACACCUCAUUAAUAGUCCUCAGAGGCCCAAUUUCAGACACAUGCUUCAUUUCCUUGAAAAAUCUGAAAAAGGCACCUAACAUCAACAAGAAAAAGUCAAAAGAAAAAGUAUCUUUGAGUACACUUCAUUUUUGAGGAGAAGCAUCAAUAUCCUGAGGGAACACAGAAGGCAUGAUAUACCCUGGAAUUAAACAGAAGCAAAAAAUGAAUACUGUAAUAUGAUUCUUAGUCAGUUAUAUUAAUCUGUUCAUGUAGUUACCUAUUUUAUGUCAUAAGUAUAUAAAUUUUAUAAACAAUGGUUUAACAACAUUUUAUCUAGAAAAUAAUAUUUUUUCUUCUGUAAGACGUGAGUCAAGCUAAAUGGAGAUAUAAUCAGAAUGCUAAACAAGAUUGCAUUUCCAAAUAAAUUUCCACUGUAUUGAAUCAGAAUUUUAACUGGUCUGUACUCCAAAAGCAAACCUCAACUGUAUUAGUACUGCAAAUCUUAACUGCAUUACUGAUUCUCAGGAUCUAGCCACUUUGAGAAUGAUAAACUUGAGGUGUAAAAGCACCUAGUUCUAUGGCAUCCUCAGUGCUCAGUCACAAACUCCAUUAUCAGACCUCAGCAAAAGAAAAGUAAUAAUAACAAUUACAAGGUUUG